rnacentral:tRNA from 1 species
AUUUAAAUAGUUUAAAAAAAAUGAUGGUUUGUGGAAUCAUAGAUGUAUAAUUAUGCUUUAGAUA